CGUCCCUCGCGAAGAAACAUAAACAGUAUUUGUGAAAUUUGGAUUAGAAACUAUUAUUUUAUUAGUUUAUUUUGUUGUGUUUAAGUGUUGUGUAUUUGUACCUACUGGAUAAUAUUUUCCAACAUAUUUAAUUAAGCAAAAAGCAUCUGUUUUACAGGUGUGACUGCUAAGUGGUCGUACUCGCCACUUUAACCAAGCAUUGGUGGGACCUUCAGAGAUCAUAAUGCGAAUUUCUUCAUACCAUGUAAAUCUAUAUACAUGUAUUAAUAAAUGCGUUUGCUUUA